rnacentral:lncRNA from 1 species
AUGAAACUUUUUUCCGACUUUAAAAGUGAUAUUCCUCUUUCAAAAAUGCAGCUGACAAUAUCCACAUUAUUUUUAAUUUUAAUCUGUAACUUUAGAUCAGUUCACUUAGAAACAGUUUCUCUCGGGAAUGAGACGGUGACCGAAUCUUCACCUCUCGAUAAAAACCAAACGAAUCAGAGAGAGAUGGACAUCGAUCUCUCGCCUCAACUGUGCAAGAAGCUUUACGGUAAUAAUGGGGGUUCUUACUACGCUUGGUCACCCUCUGAGCUCCCCAUGCUGGAGAGGGGUAACAUCGGUGCCGCCAAAAUCGCCCUCGAAAAAAACGGCUUUGCUCUUCCAAGCUAUUCCGACUCGUCCAAAAUAGCCUACGUUCUCCAAGGAAGUGGAGUUGCUGGAAUCGUGGAAGCUGAGUCCGCGGAGAAGGUGUUGGGGAUCAAGACGGGUGAUGCCCUGGCUCUGCCGUUCGGGGUCGUGACCUGGUGGUACAACAACGGGGACACCGAGUUGGUCAUCCUUUUCCUCGGCGACACCUCCAAAGCUCACAAGGCCGGCGAGUUCACCAACUUCCAGCUGACCGGCGCCAACGGGGUCUUCACCGGCUUCUCGAGCGAGUUCGUGGGUCGCGCCUGGGACUUGGAGGAGGGCGUCGUCAAGACCCUCGUCGGCAACCAAUCCGGAAAAGGGAUCGUCAAGCUCCAACCCAACGCCAGUCUCCCCGAACCCAACCCGGAGCAUCGCAAAGGGAUGGCCCUCAACUGUUUGGAGGCUCCCUUGGAUGUUGACAUAAAGGGUGGCGGAAGAGUGGUGGUGUUGAACACGAAGAAUCUGCCGUUGGUGGGCGAGGUCGGUCUGGGAGCUGACCUGGUCAGGUUGGACGGCGACGCAAUGUGCUCCCCUGGAUUCUCGUGUGACUCGGCAUUGCAGGUCACAUACAUCGUCAGGGGCAGCGGCCGUGUUCAGGUCGUUGGUGUCGACGGCAAGAGAGUCCUCGAGACAACAGUCAAAGCUGGCAAUUUGUUCAUCGUACCACGCUUCUUCGUCGUCUCCAAGAUCGCUAGCCCUGACGGAAUGGAUUGGUUCUCUAUCAUUUCUACUCCUAAUCCCGUAUUUACCCACUUGGCUGGAAAGACUUCAGUUUGGAAGGCAUUAUCACCAUCUGUACUGCAAGCUGCAUUCAACGUAGAUCCAAAAAUCGAGCAGCAGUUCCGCUCAAAGAGAACCUCUGAUGCCAUUUUCUUCCCUCCGAAAAAAUAGGGCAGAUACCCCGAUGCUCAUAUGACUGAAUUUACGAAUCUGGCGUGUAUGCUAAAACAACUAUGUCCAGAUGAAUUCACUUAAUUAUGCGUUUAGAAAGAAAAACGUACCUUCAUUUCAUUAGAAGCGAGAACGUUCGAUGCGUAGAAGCUUGGGUCAAGAUCAGAGACUCAGGGUUGCUCUGAAUCAGCUACAAUUGAGAGAUACAACUAUUUGAACUCAGGAGCAAUGUGGUAUUGCCUACUCGAAAAUUUGAAGGAACUUUAACGUUGAGCCACUACUUACAUCUUGAGUGAACGCUUUGUACAUUUUUCACCUCGGUCAAUUGAAUUAAUAGAGCCAGUGAAGUAAAAACAAAAAUCCUGUUCACAUAGUUCCUUUUAAUUUUAUUCAUGCAUCCACUUGUACAAAAGUUCUUGCAGUUACGUACAUACGUUCAAUUACCCCUCCUCGUUUCCGAGAGACUUGAAAAAGAAAAAGAAAACUUCGAAUUCCCGAGGGACAUGAUUAUUUGGGAAUCAUUUAAUCGUUGCAACCAGCUAGUCUAGUUUUGGCUACGAUGUCUCUAUUAGGUUCCUUUGAUGGAGGCGCUUAUUUCGAGAAGUGCCAUGUUGCCAAGUCGGACUUUUUUUCCGAAAUUGAGUUCUUGACAGAAAUGUAAUCUUUUUCGAUCUCUGAGGUACUUUAUUCUUGUCUCUUGAUUUUUUUUCUAGUCAUGGCAACAUUUUGAAAUAAGCGCUUCAGUUAGGACCUUAAUUGGGUUAACUUUUUUUUCGACUAUGAAUGGAAUGGAUUUCACUGGUUGGAACCAUACUGCAUUUCAGACUGCCUAGUUUCCUCUCAUGUUUCAUUUUUUUACAGAGAACUAAACAACUCAAUGCCUUUAAAAUUGUUGAGAAUUUACACUAGAUUAUAAAGAGUUUGCUUAGUUUCCGGUUUAAAAAGGAAAAUAUCAGAGAAAAUUAGACAACGUCUGAAGUAAUAACGCCAAUUCCGGUCAGAUUCUUUCAAUCGUUUUUCUCUCACCUCUAUUUUUUGGCGACUUCAUUACAGCAGUCAUCCUAACAUUAUGUAAAACAAAAAAUGGAAUGCCUUUUAAAUGCUACCUGCUGUGAUUCUUUAUCCAUAAAAUAUCUGUAUCUAUGCUUAAAAUCAAUAAAUAUUUUUUUAAAUAUGCCA